UUGUGUGCCUUGCAGUUGUUUUACGCGUCAUCUGGGGGACGUCUGCGCCAAUUUCUAUCUCUGCUCUCACCUCUGCUCUCCCUCCUUCAUCUACUACUUGAUCGAAGGAGGAGUGCCGCCGCCGCCGCAGCAGCAGCAGACUCGCUCAAGAGCAAAACACAGAUUCAGUGGAAGAAGGAACGAAGGAAAACGAACAUCCUCGGGAUCACUGGGACGUGGGUGAGCUAGGCGGAGAGACAGAGACCCAGACGCAGAGGCAAAAGUACAGAGGGUGCUGCGGACACCCCAUCGCAUACACAUAGCGCCCACCUGCUUCGUCCCCACCGCACUCUCCUCCCUUCAAGUGACACCCAUCGCUCUCCUAGACAGCCAAAACCGGCGCCAUGUCAAACGAGAAGGGCGCGUGCCAGACCAAGAACACGGUCCGCGUGAAGGAGGACGACAAGGAGGAGAAGGAGAUCAUCCCGCUAGACAAGGAUGACAUCGCGCUGCUGAACCUAUACGGCUCCGGCCCCUACCACGCAAGCAUCAAGGAACUCGAGGAGUUUGUGAAGUCGCACGUGGAGGAGCUGAACAAGAUGGGCGGCAUGAAGGAAAGUGAGAUGGGUCUCGCGCCUGCUGUGCAGUGGGACCUGAACAGUGACCAGAAGGUGCUAGAGCGCGAAAAUCCACUGCACGUUGGCCGCUGCGAGCGCAUCCUCAACAAGGGCCAAGACGAUGCCCGAUAUGUGAUCAGCAUCCGCGAGCACGCCAAGUACGUUGUCACUAUCGGCGAGCGUGUUGCACCAGAAGAUAUUGAGGAGUCCAUGCGUGUUGGCAUUGUCAUGGGAUACAGUAAGAUCCAGAUCGAGAUCCCACUGCCGCCGCGCAUCGACCGAUCCGUGUCGAUGAUGCAGGUAGAGGACAAGCCCGACGUGACCUACGCCGACGUCGGCGGUGUCAAGGAGCAGAUUGAACGCAUUCGUGAGGUGGUGGAGCUGCCCAUAACGCACCCGGAGAAGUACACGCAGCUUGGCAUUGAUCCCCCAAAGGGCGUGCUGCUCUAUGGCCCUCCCGGCACCGGCAAGACGCUGCUGGCCAAGGCCGUGGCAAACCGCACGGAUGCCACGUUCAUUCGUGUGAUCGGCUCUGAGCUAGUGCAGCGGUACAUUGGCGAAGGCGCGCGCAUGAUUCGGGAGAUCUUCCAGCUGGCGCGCACAAAGAAGGCGUGCAUUAUCUUCUUCGACGAGGUCGACGCCGUCGGCGGCAGCCGCGGCAGCGGCGACGGCGAUGACGAGAUUCAGCGCACCAUGCUGGAGAUGGUGAAUCAGAUGGACGGCUUCGACUCACGCGGCAACAUCAAGGUAAUCAUGGCGACGAACCGGCCCGACACGCUAGACCCCGCCCUGACCCGGCCGGGGCGCAUGGAUCGCAAGCUGGAGAUUGGCCUGCCGGACUUGGAGGGCCGCACGAACAUCCUGCGCAUCCACUCGCGAUCUCUUUCGUGCGAAAAGGAUGUGCGGUUCGAGUUGAUUGCCAGGCUGUGCCCAAACACCACCGGCGCUGAUCUGCGGUCGGUUUGCACGGAGGCUGGCAUGUUCGCCAUCCGCGCCCGCCGCAAGACAAUCACCGAGAAGGAUUUCUUAGACUCGGUGAACAAGGUAGUGAAAGGCCAGCACAAGUUCAGCGCCACUGCCAAGUACAUGGUGUACAACUAAGCGUCGUAGGGCGGAUACUCUGCGGCGAUGAAAGGAGAGGAGAAGUGGCUGCGCAUAUGUAUGAAUGCUUGCGUGCGCUUGUAUGUGUGGAUGAUGCUGCGUGUGACGCCGAAGCAACGACACUCUCUGUCGAACCGCCACCAGGAAACAGCACAAAACAAACGAUGUCAGUGGCAGAGCAGCGGAGCGCGACAUGCAGCAGAGGGAGUGAGGGGAGGCCAAGUGUAAAUCGAAAAGCGGACAGAACCGGAAGGGCAGUGUGUGCUGGUGGGAGGGGAGGGUGUGCAGGUCGAGGAGAAGACAGUGUCAUAGCAAAUGCACACAGACACACAUACAGCACAUCGCAUGCCCCCCUCCCCACAUCGCCCUCUCGGCCGCUCUCCUGCGACGAUCUUGUUCUCUCUUGGGCUUGUGGCGGUUUUCUGCACAGUGGCGGUCGGUUUCACGUGCCACCGCUUCCGCCCCCCUCCUCCUUCCCGCAAACGUCUUGACAUCACAGCGAGCCGUUUGUUGUCUUUUCUGCGUUUUUAAAAUCAUUAUUCGUAUUGGCGUGUUGUGUGUGUACGAGAUAGAGAGGAAAAAGGCAGCCGUGCACCUUCCGACCUUCCUUGCCCCUCCCCCCCUCCCUCUCCCCCGAUCCCCUCCAGCCUCGCCCCCGAGGCACGCUUCUGUUUUGAUUGGUGCGUUCUCACCAUGAGCAGCAACAAAG
rnacentral:misc_RNA from 1 species